UACGAGGGGGGCAAAUGUUGUUCGGAAUCACUGGGCGUAAAGGGAGCGUAGGCGGGUUGCUAAGUCAGGGGUGAAAUCCUGGAGCUCAACUCCAGAACUGCCUUUGAUACUGGCGGUCUCGAGUCCGGGAGAGGUGAGUGGAACUGCGAGUGUAGAGGUGAAAUUCGUAGAUAUUCGCAAGAACACCAGUGGCGAAGGCGGCUCACUGGCCCGAUACUGACGCUGAGGCACGAAAGCGUGGGGAGCAAACAGG
rnacentral:rRNA from 1 species